UUAUUCAGAAAAAAAUCGAAUUAUUAGCUUUAGCUAUCCUAGAUUUUAAAAUGAAAAGACAUUAUAAAAACGCAAAUGGAAAGCCAAUAGGAUUUUUAUCGCCUUCCACGAGUAGAAGCUAUUCAGAAGUAAUACAAAAAACUUUUUAAAACAGUUGGAAUGUAUUGCGAUCAUGAUUACAUUUGGUCACAAUACGACUUUAAACUAAAGUCACUAUUUUUAUUGAAAAAGGUUUGAAAUUUAUAUAAACAAAACUAUCUAUAUACAAAAAUAGACUUUACACGGUUUUGUUGUUAUUUAUAACGCUACCAUUUUAAUUUUUUUUCCCUACAAACCACGUUAUAUGAAUAUGGCUAAUACGAGCAGAUUUUAAAGGUAUUUACAUCUACAAUGUGGUAUAGAAAUAGCAUAUUUGCUUUGUGGGGAAUUUGAUAUUUUAAAAUGUGCUUUAAAGCAAAUACAUAAAGUCAUUUGUGAUUAUUAUCAAAGAACACUUCAACAACUCAUGGUAACAAGAGUUUUGAAUAUCAAUGGGCGUGUUAUUUGAUGAAGUGUGCAACGAUAAAAUUUUACAGAAGAAAUUUUUACUUUUUCUUUACAAGCUGAAUUUAAU